AUUGAACGCUGGCGGCAUGCUUUACACAUGCCAGUCGAACGGCAGCGCGGGCUUCGGCCUGGCGGCGAGUGGCGAACGGGUGAGUAAUACAUCGGAACGUGCCCAGUAGUGGGGGAUAGCUCGGCGAAAGCCGGAUUAAUACCGCAUACGACCUGAGGGUGAAAGCGGGUGAUCUUCGGACCUCGCGCUAUUGGAGCGGCCGAUGGCAGAUUAGCUAGUUGGUGGGGUAAAGGCCUACCAAGGCGACGAUCUGUAGCUGGUCUGAGAGGACGACCAGCCACACUGGGACUGAGACACGGCCCAGACUCCUACGGGAGGCAGCAGUGGGGAAUUUUGGACAAUGGGCGAAAGCCUGAUCCAGCAAUGCCGCGUGUGUGAUGAAGGCCUUCGGGUUGUAAAGCACUUUUGGCGGGAACGAAAAGGACUGUGCCAAUACCACGGUUCGAUGACGGUACCCGCAGAAUAAGCACCGGCUAACUACGUG
rnacentral:rRNA from 1 species